rnacentral:rRNA from 1 species
UUCCGGUUGAUCCCGCCGGACCUGACUGCUAUCGGAUUGAUACUAAGCCAUGCGAGUCAUUGUAGCAAUACAAGGCAGACGGCUCAGUAACGCGUAGUCAACCUAACCUAUGGACGGGAAUAACCUCGGGAAACUGAGAAUAAUGCCCGAUAGAACACUAUACCUGGAAUGGUUUGUGUUCCAAAUGAUUUAUCGCCGUAGGAUGGGACUGCGGCCUAUCAGUUUGUUGGUGAGGUAAUGGCCCACCAAGACUAUUACAGGUACGGGCUCUGAGAGGAGUAGCCCGGAGAUGGGUACUGAGACACGGACCCAGGCCCUAUGGGGCGCAGCAGGCGAGAAAACUUUGCAAUGUGCGAAAGCACGACAAGGUUAAUCCGAGUGGUUUGUGCUAAACGAACCUUUUGUUAGUCCUAGAAACACUAACGAAUAAGGGGUGGGCAAGUUCUGGUGUCAGCCGCCGCGGUAAAACCAGCACCUCAAGUGGUCAGGAUGAUUAUUGGGCCUAAAGCAUCCGUAGCCGGCUCUGUAAGUUUUCGGUUAAAUCUGUACGCUUAACGUACAGGCUGCCGGGAAUACUGCAGAGCUAGGGAGUGGGAGAGGUAGACGGUACUCGGGAGGAAGGGGUAAAAUCCUUUGAUCUCUCGAUGACCACCU